UUUUGCUCUUCUAACGAAAAUUUUCUUCCCUUUUCUUCUUUCUUAUUAAUUUCGCUUCCUCAUUUCGUCUCCUUUGUCUUCCUCUUUAUUAAUAUCUUCUCUCCAUUAAAACACUCCAAGACGUACCACUCCAGCUUUCUGAGGACCAGCUGCUAUGAUGGAGUCAAUGGAAUCGUGUGUCCCACCUGGAUUCCGGUUUCAUCCAACGGAUGAGGAGCUUGUUGGAUAUUAUCUGAGGAAAAAAGUAGCAUCACAGAAGAUCGAUCUUGAUGUUAUUAGAGAUAUUGAUCUAUACAGGAUUGAACCAUGGGAUCUACAAGAGAGAUGCCGGAUCGGAUAUGAAGAGCAGAACGAGUGGUAUUUCUUCAGCCACAAGGACAAGAAGUAUCCGACAGGGACGAGGACUAAUAGAGCGACCAUGGCCGGGUUUUGGAAGGCAACGGGGCGAGACAAGGCAGUCCAUGACAAAACGAAACUGAUUGGCAUGAGGAAAACCCUUGUUUUCUACAAAGGAAGAGCUCCAAAUGGGCAGAAAACUGACUGGAUCAUGCAUGAGUACAGGCUUGAAUCCGACGAGAAUGGUCCUCCACAGGCAAGCAUGAUCUCAUCGUUAUCAUCCUUUCUUAUCAUUAUUUAUUAAUCUCUCUCUCUCUCUCACUAGCUUUCUUUGACCUAAAUAUGGGGAACUCCCUCUCUCCCAUCUUUUAAGAGUCUAUAAAAGAAAUUUGUUAGGAAUCCAUUACUAUAUAUCAGUUCAUGUAAAAAUUCUAAAAGUAACACCUGCGUCCCUCUCUCUUUCUUUUUAAGGGACAAGUUAAUUAGCAGUUGAAAAAUUCUUCUUGGCAACAACCUAACACAACCCACAUCCAUUCUCAAUGGGUGAGAUUCUUUCUUUUCAAUUUAGGACAAAUAAAUUAAAAAGAAAAAAAAACCAUUACAUGUAUAUAUUGCUUUCCAUGCAUUAGCGAUUAGUGUUAAGAAAUCAUUCAACAUAAAAGAUAAACAAUUGGGGUGAAAUCAUAAGAAUAAUUUUAGGUAUCUAAUCCCCACAGUGUGAGCAAGGGAGGUCGGUAUUUAAACUUUAAAUCUUUUUUAUCUUAAAAGGUUAUAAUUUCAUAUUAAGAAAUUACUCCAUCAAAAAGUUUGAACUUGUAAGUGAGAAUUAUAAAAAUAAUUUAAAAUCUUUGAAAUCUAGCACGGUGUCAUCUCUAAGUCAAAAGUUAGCUUUCUUGUUCCAAUUCCUUUUCUGGCAUGAGAUUGUCUCUCUUUUCUGUUCGUUUUGUCAAAAGAAAUAUUCCAAUUCCCCUCUCUCCUUGUUCAUCAAUUACCUUUUGACUCCUAGCGACUACUACUGCAUAUCCAUCAGAUUAGCCUCCCUUUACCAAACAAAAAAGAAACUUACAAAAGUCCCAAAGAAAUUUCAUGCGAAAACCUUUCUAUAGUUAAUCAAAUAUGGAAAAUAAGAAAUCAGAUCAAAUAGAGAAAGAUUUUCAUAUCUAUAAUUAUGUUGACUAUAAGGUUUUGGUCAAGUUACUGCAGGAAGAAGGAUGGGUAGUUUGUCGCGCGUUUAAGAAGCGAACAACUGGGCAAACCAAGAACAUUGAAGGGUGGGAUUCAAGCUACUUUUAUGAUGAAGCAAGUGUGGUUAGCUCAGUAAUUGAUCCAAUCGAUUAUAUAUCGAGGCAGCCUCCGAAUUUCAUGGCACAGAGUUUCUUGUGUAAGCAAGAGAUAGAAGCAGAUAACUUAAGUUUUAUGCGGACUGAUAAUUUUGUACAGCUUCCUCAGUUAGAGAGCCCAUCUCUGCCAUUAAUAGAGAGGCCAAGCUCGAUCUCUCUGAUAUCGGGGAACAACAACAACAAUGAAGAAGAAGAGCAAGCUAGAGGAUGCAAUAUCAACAACAGCAGCAAUAACAACAAGAAAGUAACUGACUGGAGAGCCUUUGACAAGUUCGUAGCCUCUCAACUGAGUCAAGAAGACAGAUACGAUGGUGACAAUGCAGUUCCAAGCUUUGGGGGAGAAAACAGUUCAGACAUGUCAUUGCUGUUAUUGCAGAGUGGUAGAGAUGAUGAGAAAAAGUUUAAUGGAUUUUUAAGUUCAAGCUCUGACUGUGAUAUUGGAAUUUGCAUAUUUGAUAAAUGAUGCAGGAGGAGGAGGAAGCUGAUCAAAAAGAGGUUUCUAUUUGUAGUAGUAUAAUUAUUAUAUAAUAGUAUUCUUGUAAAAAUGUGGAUGUGCAUGAGUGGAAAAUUAAUAUAUAUAAAUAUAUAUUCUCUCCUUCUCUUCAUGGAUGAGAAUAUCAAUAUUCUGAUACUUAAUUGUUUGUUAAUUGCUAAAUCAGAAACAAGAUCGA
rnacentral:misc_RNA from 1 species